rnacentral:rRNA from 1 species
UGAGGAAAAUUGGUCAAUGGGCGAGAGCCUGAACCAGCCAAGCAGCGUGCAGGAUGACGGCCCUAUGGGUUGUAAACUGCUUUUAUAUGGGAAUAAAGUGAGGGACGUGUCCCUUAUUGCAUGUACCAUACGAAUAAGGACCGGCUAAUUCCGUGCCAGCAGCCGCGGUAAUACGGAAGGUCCAGGCGUUAUCCGGAUUUAUUGGGUUUAAAGGGAGCGUAGGCUGUUUGUUAAGCGUGUUGUGAAAUGUAGGAGCUCAACUUUUAGAUUGCAGCGCGAACUGGCAGACUUGAGUGCGCACAACGUAGGCGGAAUUCAUGGUGUGGCGGUGAAAUGCUUAGAUAUAAUGACGAACUCCGAUUGCGAAGGAAGCUGACGGGGGCACAACUGACGCUAAAGCUCGAAGGUGCGGGUAUCGAACAGG